GACUGGGUGUGCGGCCCGGGGACCCGGGUUCCUCGGGGGCGGGGGGCCUCGCCCUGCCCUACCGCAGUACCCAGAACGCAACCCCCCCCCCAAAUGUCAGUGCUUCACUGCCGGGCCCGAAGCAGGGGAUCCCACCACUAGUCCCCUAUAAGAUCACUCCAGAUACCUUACCCGUGGAUGCCCCCUGACACCGUGGGAUGGCUACCAACGGGUUCUCGUUAGUAAUGAACCUUUCAAAUGCCAGGGCCCCCACGAAUCUUCCUACCGCCUCAUCAGCUUCCUCCACGAGAUCCUCUCCAUGCCACCAGCUUUGCUGUGCUUACAGGGUAGCUGCUCAUGAGCCCUCUAUUCCUAUCUACUGUGGGAUUGCUUCGAGGGGGUGUUGUAUUAGUAUUUCGUGACAAGAGUUGCCCCCUACUAGCUCUGACCACACACAACCCAUCCCAAUGCACAAAUAUUUUCUAUUCUGGCCUAUACUAAAAGUGCUUUUUAAGAACCCCUUCCUGCAACUCCCCCUAACAGACCUCUUCAAAUUCAAACCUUCCCCCCACCCCCGAUGGAACAGCCCUCUCCAGAGUUCUUUUAAUACCAGGUCCUUUCCCCGAUUAGGGAGGAACAGCUGCCUGGUUAGCAUCAGACUCUCUUGAAACACUCCCUGCCCACUUCUCCUUCCCCUCCCUCAUCCUGGCCUCUGCAAUCCCAGGACAAUGCAAAUUAGCCGAGAAAUAUGCCUUCAUGGAGCAUCGGCAGUCUUAUACCCAUCUUUGCCCAAGUCUCUUGACAUUGUCCCAAACUUCCUAGGAAAGACCCCGUCUCUGCUUACAUCUUUUCCCAUAGGUUUUAUUCUUCGCUGAAUGAACGCCGUCAUUCUAUGCCCAAGCCAUGCAGUUUCGAAGGGGAGAGGUGCAACUCCUCCUUUUACAAGGGUUUGCCGUCUAGUUGAGAGGCAGAUCAGAAACAGUGCUGCUCUGUGGGUUUUCUGAGAGUCUGAUGAGCUAUGAGGCGAAUGCUGAAACACAAGAUUUAAUCGUGCCAUUCAAAGAUCUGGGGAAGAGCUGGUGCAGAGGUCCAGAGGUCCAGAGGUAACAGUCAUGUGUGGAGAGUAGCAGCGAGUUUGGAGCAGAACUGAAAAAGGCUGGAUCCGAAAGAGCCUUGGGGAUAAACUGCCUGGCUUUUUCUCAGCUCUACCAAGCUCAUAAGAUUCUUAUCCACUUGUACCUUGUUCACUCAUAAACACUUUCAAUACCUGUUUAAUGAGCAUCUGCUUAUACAGAGAAUAAAAUGGGCAGAAAUUCACAUAGAAUGGCUAUGUGGAAGAGGCAGAUUUUAGAAAUCAAGUUAUGUGGGGGUGGGGGACAUAGUUAAGUCAAUAAAGUGUUGUCCUGAGUUCAGAUUCCAAGCUCUUAACAUUAAGGGGGGAAAAAGCUGGGCAUGGUAUCACAUUCCUGUGAUCCCAGCACUGGGGAGACAGAGAUAGGAAGAUUCCUGGAGCUCACAGGCUAGCUCCUGAUUCAGUGAAAGACCGUCUCAAAGAAAGGAGGAAAGAAAGAGAACACAGUUGAGGCCAUAUAACACUGGCCUCUGGCCUCCCUACCUUCACAUGCAGUCAUACACAACACACAAAAUCAAAUUCAUGAGGACAGAGUUAUAGGGGCUGGGAUAUGGCAAAUACCACGUGUGGGCUAUCUCGUGCCAUCCUGUUCCUCAGGUAAACCAAAGAGCAAAAAGUUUGGCCCUAGACUGCUCUGGCUCACCAAGGGGGCUACUCUGACAGCUUCCUCACCUUGCAGGUGGAGGGAAGGAUAUGAUCUGAGGACUUUAUAGACUCGUGCCUUUUCCCACCCUGUUUGCCUAGCCUCAUUCCUUCAUUUACUCAGGAAUACAUCCCAUGCAGCCAAUGAGAUAGAUGGCUGAGCAGGUAGAAUGAACAAGCCUGAUGACCUGAGUUUAGUCUCCAAAACCCAUGUGAUGGAAGGAGAGAACUAAUUCCUGUAAGUUGCCCUCUCAUCUCUACAUGUGUACACACACGAUAAAUAAAUGUAAUUUUUAUUUUGAAAAAAAAAAAAAAGAUAGUGAUUAUCAAGCUAGGUACUAUCCUAGGUCCUGAGGACAGUUCGGAACAAACCACGAAGCUCCUGUUACUGGGGCUGUGGAGACGGCUUAGUGGUUAAAAGCAUUUGCUGUGAAAGCGUGGGGAUCAGAGUUCAGAUUCCCAGAACUCAUCUGAAUGCCAGCCAGUUAGGAGGCCCACCUGUCAUUCCAGUCUCUGAAGGCAGAAAUAGGAUCCCCAGAACAAUCUGGCUAAUGAAACUAGCCAUAUCUGUGAGCUCUGAGUUUGAUUGAGAGACCCUGCUCAAUGAAUAUGAUGGAAGAGAGUGGGGAUCAUUCCUAGCGUCAACCUUGAGUCUGCAUGCACAUGCACACGUGUGUAUACAUGUGAGAAGGGAAAAAGGGAAAAAAAAAUACUGUGGCAUCAGAGAGGGAGACCAGUAAAAACAUGAUCAGGAAGGCAGAAUAUAUGGUACAUUCGAUGACAGCAAGCAAGCGAGUACAGGUCUGGGUGACAGGUGGCAGUGGUUGCUCAGAGCCCCAUUGAGAAGCAGAGACAGGAAGGAGAUGAGGGGAGGAGAGUAUUGGGGUGUUAAUUUUGCCAGCAAAAGCUACAGCCCUGAAACACAGGCUAUGGAACAGAAAUGGAGCCAGCACAUUGGAGGAGCAGCUGCAAGCUUGUGGGGGCUGUGUAGGUCAUUGGAAGGACUUUGGGUUUUCUGAGAUGGGACACUAGGCUCUCAGCAGGAGCAUCAUGGUUUGGUAUAGCUUAGUGGGAUAGCUACACUUUUGACAGUGUUGGGAAUUUUGAAUGGGACACACUAUAUAAAUCACCACGCACCGUACUCUUUAGAAUUCAGUGAAUGCCAGUGACUGGUCCUGGACUUGGACCAAACUGAGAGAUGUGAAUGGGAGGCAGGGAGAGGAUGAGACAGGUCUUGUCUCCACUGACAGUGCUUUGAGGGCCCUGCUUUUAUUUUGGAAAGUGAAAUACUGUGUGGAGUCUGGAAUCCCACCAUUUGCCUUAAACACUCUUUAGUUCAGUGACCUUCAGUCUCUUCCUUAGUGGUUUUGUUUUGUUAUUUAUUUUGAGGCAGUUUUCUCUGGGUGUCCUUGGCUGUCUUGGAACUUGCUCUUUAGACCAGGCUGGCCUUGAAUUCACAGAGAUCUGCCUGCUUCUGCCUCCAAAGUGCAGAGAUUAAAGGCAUGUGCCAGCUCUGCUGGCUGAAAUCAGUGUUUCUGAGUCAGCAAUUCUACCCAUCCUUUUGGGGUGGGAUUUAGAAGAGUCAAAAAUAGAUAUGAUCUGUUAAACACCCUCACCCCUUCCCCGUGCAUGGCAUGUGCAUGUGUGCACACUUGUCUAGGGGCCAGAGGGUGACCAUGAGUGUCUUCCCUGAUCCCGCUCCACUUUAUUGAAGCAUGGGCUCUCACUGAGUAUCAAGUACACAGGUUGGGCUGGUGUAGCUGCACCUUUGCCUUCUUAAGUGCUGGAUUUCAGAGAGUGGCUGUGCCCACCUAACCUCUACAUGGGUUCUGGGGAUCCAAACUCUGGUUCCCGGGCUUGUAUGGCAGAUGCUCCAUCUGCUGGACCAUUUCCUCAGUCCUGUUAAAACUUGCUGUGCUUAUGUGGAACUUUGAUUUGGUGUGUGUGGUAGGGAGUCUCCUCCACUAUAAUUUCAUAAACCCUCCCCUGACACAUGCCACCUCAGAAAAUAGGCAUUUGGAGCUGGAGAGAGAUUGGUCUGAAAUUAGGAGCACUUGUGGCUCUUGCAGAGGACCCAGCAUCCAUCCACAUGGUGGCUCACAGUCACCUGUAACUGAAAUUCCAGGGAUCUGACACGCUCUUCUGGCUUCCACCCAGGCUUGCAGGCAGUGCGCAGACAGGCCUGGAGGAGAACGCACACAAAAUAAAUAUAUUUUUUUUUUUUUUUGGAGCUGGGGACCAAACCCAGGGCCUUGCGCUUCCUAGGUAAGCGCUCUACCACUGAGCUAAAUCCCCAGCCCCCAAAAUAAAUAUUUUUAAAAGGAGCUAUUUAAGACUUUGGUACAGGGCUGUCGAGAUGGCUCAGUAGGUAAAGCGCUCGCCAUCAAGACAAGUGGCUCGAGUUCAAUCGCUGGAACAAAUUAAAGUAGGAGAGAAGCAACUCCAGAGUUGUCCUCUGACCUCAUAUGCACUCUCAUUCACACACAUCACAUCCAUAGUAAAUAAUGUUUUAAAAGACUUCAAUCAGGCUGGAGAGGUGGCUCAGCAGUUAAGACAACUGACUGCUCUUCCAGAGGUUCUAAGUUCAAUUCUCAGUAACCACAUGGUGGCUCACAACCAUCUGUAAUGGGAUCUGAUGCCCUCUUCUGGUGUGUCUGAAGACAGCUACAGUGUACUCAUAUACAUAAAAUAAAACUUUUUUUAAAAAAAUGCUUCAGUCCACUGAAAGGAGAAAAUGUCUUACUACUCAGUGGGGCUUACUAUGAACCUAAUAAAUUCUGUUCCUCACCUUCCUUGAGGCAACCCCCUACUGCUUGCAGAAUACUGCUGACCAUAGAAUUCCUUUUCUGGAAGACAUGUGAACUCCAUUCUGUUAAAUAGCUCCCUUUCCAGGGAGGGUCCAGACAGGUUAGUCUCAUCUAUUUGAUUUUGUAUGUGAGCAUGGAUGUGUGCUUUCCAGUAUGUGCAUAUGGGAAGUCAGAGGACAACUUUUGGCAGUCAUCUCUCACCUUCCUGCUUGCUGAGGUGUACACUGGGCUAAUUGGUCCUUAAACUUCUAAGCAUUUCUCUUGUCUCUGCCUGCCAUCUUGCCGUGGGAGUAUUGGGAUUAUAGAUGUGUACCACUAUACUCCUGCCCACUUUAAAUGGUACAUUCAGGGGAUUGAACUCAACCUGCCAGGCUUAUUCAACAAAUGCUUACCCAUUGAGCUGUCUAGCUCCUCAUUUAUUAUUUGGCAAAUAUUUAUCAAUAUAGACAUUUACAAAUAAAUUUCCCUUUGCGCAUUGCUUUAGCUGUGUCUCUUCUGUGUUGGUAUGUUGUGUUUUCAUUUUCUUAUUUAUCUAUCUAUUUAUUUAUUUAUUUAUUUAUUUAUUUAUUUAUUUAUUUAUUUUUGAGACUGAGUCCUCUAUAGCCCAGGCUGACCUUGCACUCUGUGUAGCUGAGGCUAGUCUUGAACUCCUGAUCUUCCUACAGCUUCUCUCCUAAGUGCUGAGAUUACAAACCUAUGCCACCGCACCCUGUUGUGUUUUCAUUUUCAUUCAUGCAAAACAUUCUCUAAUUUCCCUCAUGGUCUCUUCAUGGAUCUCCUGGAGGAGAGGCAACAAGCUAGAUGUUGCUUAAUCUCAACCCGUCAACAAAUGUUGGCUAAGUACCCACGGCUUGUCCACAUAUGCACUGGAGUAGGGGUUGGGGCAUAAUGGCAAACAGAACAGGCUACUUUAGUCCUUGUUGCCUUCAUAAACACAUGGCAAAAUUAUGUUAGUGGCACUAACUGUGGUGAAAAUAGCUGGAUUAUGGGCUAGAGGUGAAAGUAAGAGGACAGAAACCGGAAUGGGACUCAGGGAGGUAUCCUUGACUUCUGGGGAACGACAUCCUAGGGCAGACAAGGAAUCCAUGGAGUUUGUUGUUUUAUGAGGUAGAGUCUCAUGUAUGCCAAGCUGGCCUCAAACUCACUAUGUAGAUGAGGAUAGCCCUGACUCAGUCCUGCCUCAGGUUCUCAAAUGGUGGGAUUAGAGAUAUAUAUCAUGUCUGACAGAAUCUAUUGAAUAGUAACCCCUAUACCUCCCACUAGAUACCUCAUAUAAAUAGCCCAGAGAGCACCUUUAAUGAAGACUCCUGUUUCUAUAAUUCUAACCUAUACUUUCUCUGUUUUGGGGGUACAGCUUCCUUAUGGGUUGGGAUUCUCUCUUGCUAUCAAGCCAAUUGUUCUACUGCAAGCUUGCUUUGGGGACUCUGAGAAAUUUACUAGAUUUCUUUGAGCUUCAGUGUUCUCAUGUGUACAGGAGAGAGUAGAUGUCUCUAAGCGUUGCCAUGGGGAUCUGAUGGGUUGAGAAGUGGAAGUGCUUAGGACAGGCCCCUCUGUGAAGCACAAUGGGAAGGUUCUAAUGGAAACAAGCAAAGCAGGUAACUGUGUCCCCGCCCCUUCCAUAGCACUUCCUGCAUCCUCACACAUUUCUCCUCCUUGGCAGUUGAAUCCCUCACUUAGGCUCUGUAUGCAAUCUCCUGGUUGCUACACCUUUGGUUCUUGUGGAGAUUAGAUUAAAUGGAGAGGGUGUGAAGGGCAUGGAAUGUUGACUCUUGUCCAAGAACACUCAGAACUGGAUACUGAAAAUAUCUGAGUAGAGGUAGGGUGGAGGCACCUUUCACCUGUGGGUGCAGAGAACCAUUCAGGCAGACCGAAUCAAAGUUCCUGGGCUUUGGUGGGUGGGGAGGAGACAUCCUCUCCCCCAUGGCUUCUUAGGUUUUUGGUAUAGUAUGUAAGGAAGCUGAGGGCUAGACACAGAGCCAGGACUGCAGGAGCAAGGGAUGAUGGGCAAAAACGUGGAGUCUUUCUCCCAUUGACUCUUCAAAAACUCAGUGGUACUCCUGGGACUGAGAACACAAAAAUGAACUCCAGGAGUUAGCUUCCAGUGCAGAGGGAAGGACAGACAGACAGCAGAGAUGGAAAACGCACUAUAAAGGGAGGUGUUUGGAGAAGCCCUCCUUAUCUAAGGACAGGAAUUCAGGUUGCCCCAGGUAUGUGAUAUCAUCAUUAAUAGCACACACAGCACACACGGGGUGGAGUGCACACUGCUGAUGAGUGCUGCAUUUUUCCCUCCUCAUGCUCAUGCAGAUAGGGUCAGAACCCACCUCUGCCCAGGCCCAUGAGUGUAUCCCACAGUCUUCCAGGAGUGCAGGCACUCUUGCUGUAACCAGCCUGUCCUAGGUAGGAGGUUUCCCUCCCUACUUUGCAUUCAAAGAAUAGUCCCUCUCCCCACAGUCUUGAGCUCUUACCCAGCUUUCUUGGCUUUCCUAUUGCUGAUGCUGGAAUGGAUACUAACAAUUAAUAGACGGCAUUGCCAUAGAUUAUCACGGUGUUUACCAGGACGCCAGGAGGAGCCUUCCACGUAUUAAUGCUGAAGUGCUGAAUCUUCACAGCAGCCCUGUGCUUGAUAGAUCUUGCUUGUCCUAACCCUUGUUCCCCCUGCCUCCACUACCACAAGGUUACCUCAAACUUGCAGCAAUCUCAGCCUUCUGAGUGCUUGGAUUGCCCUCUGUUAGAGUGGUUGUGAGGACAGAAGUUCAGUCAUUUACCCAUGGUCACAGAACUAGAAAGCAGCUGUACACAUACACACACUCACACACAAAAUGCUUGAUGGUGGCACACCCCUCGAAUCCCACUAUUCAGGAGGCAGAGGCAGGUGGAUCUCUGUGAGUUCAAGGCCAGCUUGGUCUACAGAGUGAAUUAUAGAACAGCCACGACUACACAGAGAAAACACAGUCUAAAACCAAAACCUAAACAAAACGAAACGAAAAAACAGAAAAGAAUAAAGGAGGUUAGGGGUGGAGGCUUAGGUCUGAAGCUGGUAUUCUGGCACCCGAGCUGCUGUCUAAACCACUCAGAUGGGAGCUAUUCUUGUCCUUGUUUUACAGUGGCAAAACCAGAGGAUUGAGACCACAGGAAAGUAUGGGGAGUGGAGGGAAUCAAUUUAGAGGAGAGAGUUUGAGCACCACCCAACCCCCAGGUCAUCAGGGAUUUAGUCUUGGAAGAGAAAGCAGGUGCAUGAAGACAGUCUGAGGAUAAAUAGGGAGGUGUGUGAAGAUCCAAAAAAAGAUGGGGUAAGGAUGGGAGGAGACUAGCAUACCCAAAGUCCACACAGGUUAGAGGAAAGCAGGUGUAUGGGUGGAAUGACAGGCUAGCUAAGAGAAUGCUGUUGGUGCAGGAGCAUGGAUCUAGUUCCCUUUGCUUGCUACUCACGGGCUCUCUUUGCUCAGUCCCCAUCCUCUUCUUCACAGGGUCUCCCUUCUCUCCACCGACCAGAGAUGGAGGCAAACCAGGCAGGCAGCGGUGCCGGGGGUGGCGGGAGCAGCGGCAUCGGGGGCGAGGACGGGGUCCACUUCCAGAGUUACCCAUUUGACUUCCUGGAAUUCCUCAACCACCAGCGCUUUGAGCCCAUGGAGCUAUACGGGGAACACGCCAAGGCAGUGGCAGCCCUGCCCUGUACCCCGGGGCCCCCGCCCCAGCCCCCACCCCAGCCUCCUCCGCCCCAAUAUGACUACCCGCCCCAGUCCAGUUUCAAACCUAAGGCGGAGGCUCCUUCCUCAUCCUCAUCAUCAUCUUCAUCCUCAUCUUCCUCAUCUUCGUCUUCCUCAUCCUCUUCCCAAGCCAAGAAGAUGGAUCCGCCGUUGCCACCCACCUUCGGAGCGCCGCCCCCUCCACUCUUUGAUGCUGCCUUCCCUGCUCCGCAAUGGGGAAUAGUCGACCUCUCUGGACACCAGCACCUGUUCGGGAACCUGAAACGAGGUGGGCCCACACCUGGGCCUGGAGUAGCAUCAGGACUGGGCACUCCUACUGGGACCCCAGGGCCACUUCCCACACCCUCGCAGACCCCGCCUGGGCCCACAGUAGGGGCAGCCUGCGACCCAACCAAGGAUGACAAGGGCUAUUUCCGAAGGCUGAAGUACCUGAUGGAGCGGCGCUUCCCGUGCGGUGUUUGCCAGAAGUCCUUCAAACAGUCCUCACAUCUGGUCCAGCACAUGCUAGUGCACUCCGGGGAACGACCAUACGAAUGCGGCAUCUGUGGCCGCACCUAUAACCAUGUCUCCAGUCUCAUCCGUCACCGACGCUGCCACAAGGAUGUGCCAUCAACACCAACCGGCAGUACGUCACAGCCUGGGCCUGCACUUCCUUCACUGGGCCUCCCGGUACCCACAGCCAGCGCCACAGCCAGCUCUGACCCCGCCGCAGUGUCCUCUGGCCCUUCAGCCACCCCUGCAACGCCUGCCACCUCCACUGAUGGGAACACCACCCCUGCUGCCCCACCUGGGGUGGCCAUGCCUCCCUCUGCCACUACUGGCGGGGAGGGCCCAUUCGCCUGCUCCCUCUGCUGGAAGGUUUUCAAGAAGCCUAGCCACCUCCACCAGCACCAGAUCAUCCACACCGGUGAGAAACCCUUCUCUUGCUCUGUGUGCAGCAAAAGCUUCAACCGGAGGGAGAGCCUCAAACGUCAUGUGAAAACGCACUCGGCUGACCUGCUGCGCCUGCCCUGUGGCAUCUGUGGCAAGGUCUUCCGCGAUGCCUCCUACCUCCUCAAGCACCAGGCGGCCCACGCAGCGGCCGGAACCCCGCGGCCGGUGUACCCUUGCGACCUGUGCGGAAAAACAUACUCAGCGCCGCAGAGCCUGCUGCGACACAAGGCUGCCCACGCACCACCUGUGGCCACAGAGCCAGCUAAGGACGGCGCGGCCUCGGUCCCACAGCCACCUCCCCCGUUUCCCCCAGGUCCUUACCUCCUGCCCGCGGACCCAUCCACUACAGACGAGAAAGCCACGGCGGCCGCAGCGGCUGUGGUGUAUGGUGCAGUGCCUGUCCCACUUCUCAGCGCACAUCCUCUGCUGCUUGGAGGUGCAGGGAAUGGCGGUGCUGGCGGCCCGGGCGCGAGUGGCCCAGGCAAGACGUUCUGCUGUGGCAUCUGUGGUCGCGCGUUUGGGCGCCGCGAGACCCUAAAGCGACACGAACGCAUCCACACCGGCGAGAAACCCCACCAGUGCCCCGUGUGCGGGAAGCGUUUCCGGGAGUCCUUCCAUCUGAGCAAGCACCACGUGGUGCACACCCGAGAGAGGCCCUACAAGUGCGAGCUGUGCGGCAAAGUCUUCGGCUACCCGCAGAGCCUCACUCGCCACCGCCAGGUGCAUCGGCUGCAACUGCCCUGCGCCCUGGCUGGAGCCACAGGCCUCACCACCGGACAGGGGACCACUGGGGCCUGUGGACCUGGAGCUGCAGGCACUUCAGGUGGGCCGGCCGACCUGAGCUACGCCUGCUCAGACUGCGGGGAACACUUCCCGGAUCUCUUCCACGUCAUGAGUCACAAGGAAGCUCACAUGUCAGAAAAACCGUACGGCUGUGACGCCUGCGGCAAGACGUUCGGUUUCAUCGAGAACCUCAUGUGGCACAAGCUGGUUCACCAGGCUGCCCCGGAGCGCCUUCUCGCGCCAACAUCCAGUGGCCCUCAGUCCUCUGAUGGCAGCGGCAGCAGCAGCGGCGGCACCGAUGCAUCCAGCGUGCUGGACAACGGACUGGCUGGAGAGGUGGGGACGGCAGUGGCAGCGCUGGCUGGGGUUUCUGGGGGCAGCGAGGAUGCGGGUGGGGCGACGGUGGCCGGAUCGGGUGGCGGGACCAGUUCAGGCGCUGAGCGCUUCAGCUGUGCCACAUGCGGCCAAAGCUUCAAGCAUUUCCUGGGCCUGGUGACUCAUAAGUAUGUGCACUUGGUGCGCCGGACCCUGGGUUGCGGCCUCUGCGGCCAGAGCUUUGCGGGCGCAUACGAUCUGCUCCUGCACCGCCGAAGCCACCGGCAGAAACGGGGUUUCCGCUGCCCAGUGUGUGGGAAGCGCUUCUGGGAGGCGGCCCUACUGAUGCGCCACCAGCGCUGUCACACAGAGCAGCGGCCCUACCGGUGCGGCGUGUGCGGUAGAGGCUUCCUGCGCUCCUGGUACCUGAGGCAGCACCGCGUAGUGCACACGGGCGAGCGCGCCUUCAAGUGCGGCGUGUGCGCCAAGCACUUCGCGCAAUCUUCUAGCCUAGCGGAGCACCGGCGGCUGCACGCCGUGGCCCGGCCUCAGCGCUGCGGCGCCUGCGGCAAGACCUUCCGCUACCGCUCCAACCUGCUGGAGCAUCAGCGGCUGCACCUGGGCGAGCGCGCCUACCGCUGUGAGCACUGCGGCAAGGGCUUCUUCUACCUGAGCUCCGUGUUGCGCCAUCAGCGUGCCCACGAGCCCCCGCGGCCCGAGCUGCGCUGUCCCGCCUGUCUCAAGGCCUUCAAGGAUCCUGGCUACUUCCGGAAGCACCUGGCUGCCCAUCAGGGCGGCAGGCCUUUCCGCUGCUCCUCCUGCGGUGAGGGCUUUGCCAACACCUAUGGUCUGAAGAAACACCGCCUGAUGCACAAGGCUGAGGGUCUUGGGAUGCCCGGAACAGGGGGAAGCACCUUGGCCGGAAAGGAUCCCUGACCAGGGUGUUUCAGUGUGCCAAUCAGAUAUUCCCUCUGGACUCUACCCUUCUGGGGCUGCUGGUCAGACUCUCCCCACCCCUCCUUACUGUCACCCAUUCUAAAGAAUCCCAGGUGGUCUAGCUUCUUUCCAGUCCCAUGCCCUACAAACUGAAGAUUAAAUUGCUCCGAUCCCAGGCCAUUCUGGCCCUUCCUUCUUCAUCUGUCAGACACUGGACUUGAUCCUCUGUCCAGUUGAUCCUCUUUUGUAAACCUCAUCUGCCACCCAGCAGCAUUCUGGCUCCAGUGAACUCUGUGGUGGAGAUGGGUUUGAACUACUCACCCCCUCCACUUCCUCUGGGAUCUGGCUGGACAGUGGACUAUGAACAGAGUUGGGAGGGCACAGGUUGAGUGAGGAUUUGCCAUGUCCCGGGCAUUAGCCUAUGAAUUGGGCAAGUGGAGAGGAGUGAAACAGGGAAGUCGCACUCUCAGGAACUGAUUUGAGAUCCCGAGACUCCCCUCCAUGAUGCUCUCAGCCACCAUGACCGGAAGCCUCCUGUCUGCCAAGCCCUGACCUGGGCACUAGGGAAACUGAUGAAUUGAUUGGACAUGACAUUCACACUCCAGUAGGCUGGGAGAGCAUACCUGAGGAACUUAAGUCUGCAGACUUACUGCAGACGGUCUCAUGUAGUCUAGGCUGGCUAUGGACUUGCUUUGUAGGUAAAGAUAGGCUUGAAUUUUUUCCCCUUUGAGACAUGGUCUCUCUAUGUAACCCUUGGCUCUCCUGGAACUCUCUGUAGACCAGAUGGGCCUCGAAUUUACAGAAAUCCACCUGCCUCUGCCUCUCUGGUGCUGAGAUUAAAGGUGUGCACGACCA